rnacentral:lncRNA from 1 species
ACUACUACUAGUACUAGUACUACAUCAUGCACUACCGGCGCAUGUAAACAAGGCAGUCCGGCCGACCGAUCUCACCGUGGCGGUUUUUAUAGAUAGUAAACGUCUCGGUGCUGCAAGAAAAGGCAAACCAGACACUUCAGUUGAGACCCAGAUUUCUUCACCAAAAAAAGCUCCGGGCAAAGUUCAAGUUUCUUUUAAUUGCCUAUCUACAUAACUGUGUCAUGCUGCACACAAACUCAACCAGGAUUUUGAUUUCGAUGAAAACCUCAAUUCAAGGACAAGCUGCAACAGUACAACAAGCAGAACUUCCGUUGGAGGCCUAAGGGAUGAACGUCAGGAAAAGGGAGAUGUUCUGCGACUGACUGUUCAACCCCGAUCAACAACUUAGUUUCAUGAGAAUGUCCCAGCUUGCUGAACUGUUGGAAUCAUGAAAUGAUUUAGAAGCCGAAGGAACUGGCCUUGGAUCUUUAUAUCGAACUAAUAAGUUGACAUAUCGGCUUAGAAGAGAAUGUCCACAGGUCUCUUUCCUUGAUAUAUGCGACAUCACCUACACCUCUACUUUAUCUGCUGGAUGUGUGGUUGAAUCUCUGGGGACUUCAGAGGAGGAUUCAAAACUGAAACUUUGGCUUAGAAAGCAAGACAUACGCUCCAUCCUGUUGUUAUGCCGUUACUGCACAAGAUUUGAUGAGAACUUUGAUGUAGUGAUAACAUUUACUUGAAGUUGUAUCAGCACGACUAGUUAGCAUUUGACAUUAUAAUGAAAAUAAUGAGUAACUCUAGAUUUCAAAACUACAUAAUUGUAUCCUUCUGUUCAUUAGUGUUGGUUUUAUUCAUUUUAAUUCUUUUUAAUUAUUAAAAAUUAGUUCCAGUAGAAAGGCAAAUUCUGUGAGUUUUAACAGUGAGACUAGCCACAUAUGACAAGCCAAAUCACUCUCUUUAAUGUGUAAGCAUACAACAUAGCAUGAGUUAUGUUUUUGUUUUCUUUUUAUUGAUAUACAUGCAAACAUUUUUCAGUGCUAAUCAAUGUAUCAAUAAAUAAAAAGCUGAAAUUUUCUUUGACAGAAGACUGAUCUUAAGGCUUUUCUCCAAACCAAGAUGGCUGUUUUGAUUAGAUAGCAAAUAAAUGUACAAUGGUUGAUUUUUGAAAUUAUUAAA